rnacentral:tRNA from 1 species
ACCUGGGUAGCUCAGUAGGUUAAGCAUCUGACUUUCGCUCAGGUCAUGAUCUCACGGUUCGUGGGUUCGAGCCCUACAUCGGGCU